UAUUAGUUUGGUGCAAAAGUAAUUGCAGUUUUUGCCAUAACUUUCAAAGGCAAAUACUGCAAUUACUUUUGCACCAACUUAAUAU
ensembl:miRNA